rnacentral:rRNA from 1 species
AUUGAACGCUGGCGGCAGGCCUAACACAUGCAAGUCGAACGAGCGGCGGACGGGUGAGUAAUGCCUGGGAAUUGCCCAGUCGAGGGGGAUAACAGUUGGAAACGACUUCUAAUACCGCAUACGAUUGGUUUGCAGAGGUGGGAUUAGCUAGUUGGUGAGGUAAUGUCUCCCCAAGGCGACGAUCCCUAGCUGGUCUGAGAGGAUGGGCAGCCACACUGGAACUGAGACACGGUGCAGACUCCUACGGGAGGCAGCAGUGGGGAAUAUUGCACAAUGGGGGAAACCCUGAUGGAGCCAUGCCGCGUGUGUGAAGAAGGCCUUCGGGUUGUAAAGCACUUUCAGCGAGGAGGCGUUACUCGCAGAGGAAGCACCGGCUAACUCCGUGCCAGCCGCCGCGGUAAUUC